rnacentral:rRNA from 1 species
CAGCAGCCACGGUAAUACGAAGGGUGCAAGCGUUACUCGGAAUUACUGGGCGUAAAGCGUGCGUAGGUGGUGGUUUAAGUCCGUUGUGAAAGCCCUGGGCUCAGCCUGGGAAUUGCAGUGGAUACUGGGUCACUAGAGUGUGGUAGAGGAUAGUGGAAUUUCCGGUGUAGCAGUGAAAUGCGUAGAGAUCGGAAGGAACAUCUGUGGCGAAGGCGACUAUCUGGGCCAACACUGACGCUCAUGCACGAAAGCGUGGGGAGCAAACAGGAUUAGAGACCCAGUAGUCCCUGUCUCUUAUACA